rnacentral:rRNA from 1 species
GAUGAACGCUGGCGGCGUGCCUAAUACAUGCAAGUCGAGCGAACAGACGAUGAUCUUGCUCCUCUGACGUUAGCGGCGGACGUGUGAGUAACACGUGUAUAACCUACCUAUAAUUCUGGGAUAACUUCGGGAAACCGGAGCUAAUACCGGAUAAUAUAUUGAACCGCAUGGUUCAAUAGUGAAAUACGGUUUUUCUGUCACUUAUAGAUGGAUCCGCGCCGCAUUAGCUAGUUGGUAAGGUAACGGCUUACCAAGGCAACGAUGCGUAGCCGACCUGAGAGGGUGAGCGGCCACACUGGAAGUGAGACAGGGACAAGAAGCCUAAGGGAGGGAGCAGUAGGGAAUCUUCGGCAAUGGGCGAAAGGAUGACGGAGCAACGCGGAGUGAGAGAUGAAGGUCUUCGGAUCGUAAAACUCUGUUAUUAGGGAAGAACAAAUGUGUAAGUAACUAUGCACGUAUUGACGGUACCGAAUAAGAAAGCAACGGCUAACUACGUG